rnacentral:lncRNA from 1 species
UGCUGCAAGAAGCACACAAUGUUCAUCAUAUAUGACAUGAUUUGUACAGAUGUAAAUGUGUGGCCAAUAUUAAAAUAAAUCUGUUUGCCUGUGCCAUAAAGUCUUUAUUUUCCGGAGGGAUGUUAUCCACCGUAAAACGUCUUUAAUUUUGUUGUUGUUGUGUAUCAUUUUUUUCUUUCUGGUUCAUAUGAUCUAUCAUGUAAAAGUGUAAACUACAUAGUUAAAUAGUAUACUUAGUUUUGCUGAUCCAUGUAUACACACACAUUGUUAAAAGUGUAAACCAUUGCGAGAAUUGGUCCAUAUUAUAUUUUUUGUCCCUGAGAUGUUAAUAUUUGUUUUUUUCACGAUCCUUUCGUUCAAAGGAAGUGAUUAUCCAUGCAUCAUUAGGUGACAUGAAUGUUCUGUUUGGGAGAAAGGGGCAAAGGAGGGAAUCUGAGAAGACAUUUUCAAUUUUGAAUAAGCUUUUAUUCUUUUAUCCUUCACUUCUUGGUCCCCUUUCCUCAAAACAUGGUUUAAAGCUGAUGGAUAACCAAGAUCUUUUGGAAUUUCAGGAAUAACUUUUUACUUUGGCCGUUAUCUUUCUCCCACACACUAAAUUACUAAUUGCAUAUAAGUUUGUCUAAGGUUUAGCUAUGGGCAUGCGAUGUUUAAUAUCCAUGGAUUUUUUAGCAUCUUUUUUUUUUAAAUUUAUUUUAAAUCCGAGCCUUACUAAUUUUUUUUUGCUCCUCACUAGAUCACUGAAGAGCUUUAGUGAUUUUUUUUUUUUUUUUGCCUAGAAGAGUAUUGGUGAUUAAAAUUUUAAAAAGGAUAUACC